rnacentral:rRNA from 1 species
CCCUGGUAGUCCACGCCGUAACGAUGUCGACUUGGAGGUUGUGCCCUUGAGGCGUGGCUUCCGGAGCUAACGCGUUAAGUCGACCGCCUGGGGAGUACGGCCGCAAGGUUAAAACUCAAAUGAAUUGACGGGGGCCCGCACAAGCGGUGGAGCAUGUGGUUUAAUUCGAUGCAACGCGAAGAACCUUACCUGGUCUUGACAUCCACRGAASUUUUCAGAGAUGAGAAUGUGCCUUCGGGAACCGUGAGACAGGUGCUGCAUGGCUGUCGUCAGCUCGUGUUGUGAAAUGUUGGGUUAAGUCCCGCAACGAGCGCAACCCUUAUCCUUUGUUGCCAGCGGUCCGGCCGGGAACUCAAAGGAGACUGCCAGUGAUAAACUGGAGGAAGGUGGGGAUGACGUCAAGUCAUCAUGGCCCUUACGACCAGGGCUACACACGUGCUACAAUGGCGCAUACAAAGAGAAGCGACCUCGCGAGAGCAAGCGGACCUCAUAAAGUGCGUCGUAGUCCGGAUUGGAGUCUGCAACUCGACUCCAUGAAGUCGGAAUCGCUAGUAAUCGUGGAUCAGAAUGCCACGGUGAAUACGUUCCCGGGCCUUGUACACACCGCCCGUCACACCAUGGGAGUGGGUUGCAAAAGAAGUAGGUAGCUUAACCUUCGGGAGGGCGCUUACCACUUUGUGAUUCAUGACUGGGGUGAAGUCGUAACAAGGUAACCGUAGGGGAACCUGCGGUUG